CUGGGCGGCUGCUGCUGUGGCAGGCAGGCAGGCAGAGAGAGAAAGAGAGAGAGGAGAGCAAGGGUUACAUCAAGGCUGCUCCCUGGACCGUGCAAACAAGUCUAGACCGGUGACCUGUUCAAUGGCUCCUUUUGAGGAGUGGGGCAAGUUCGGGCAGAGCCGGGAGAAAGACACGCAUAGCCUCUUUUCACUGGCAGCCUGCGAUCGACAGGAGGGACUUGAACUCCAAAACAACCCUGGCCAGAAAGAAAAGCGAUUGAGGAACACAUCCAUGAAGGAAUGAGGAGGAGGAGGCGGAAAAUGCAAGUGAAAGUGGGCAGGUUUGAAGUGAAGUGGAGGAGACAGUCCAGCCAGCGCCACCCGCGCCUCAAACCCCCCAAGCUCCGCAUCAGUAUGCAGCGACUGUUGCUAAGGUGAUAAAACCGCUGGAUGGAUGGAUGGGGGGUAACUGCAGAAACAUCAAUAGUGCAAUGGGAAGCAGGUGAGGACAAAGACACAGAGAGUGGGCGUGAGACUGGAGGGCAGAAAAGGAAGAGCAUGGUUACACUUUCCUGGCCUGUGUACAUUAACGGGCCACCAUUUUGUGAGCGCUGGAUCCGUUUGAUGUUAGCAGUAAAAAGCAUCUCGCC